CUUCUGGAGAAUACAAAGGAUUUGAAUACGCUCAACACUACUGAAUGCGAGAUUUAUGUUGCUUAAUGGCUUCAGCUUUGCUGAUUUUUGAUUUGUGAUGAGUCAAUGGGAUAUGUAUUUCUUUCACUCCAGCGACAUCAUGAGCUUUGGACAGUGUUGGAUUAAUGCGUCUGCAGUACAAAACUUCUUUCAUCAAGUCCUUAACAUAUCCUGAAAAGCAAAUCAUUAUUUAUGUUGGCUUUGCAUUGCACUUUGAGAAAAGGCUCUAACAUAUCAUGUUCACAUUUUGGGAAUACAUCACUAUGUCCCUCAUGGAUGUCACAUAUAUGAUUGAGAACUGACAACCACUUUGCCUUGACAAGUUCUUCAUCACCAUUGCUGGAAGCAGCACACCAGUAUACAUGGUUGGAAAUUGAUUGGGCCCAAUCCGACAAUAAUUUGCAACCACUUUUUUUGAUGCUGCCAAAAUUUUCUUUUUGAUUCCUGUUGGAAUUUGAUUAUUGAUGAAAUGUGUAAAAGAAGAUGCUUUUGGUUCAUAUGCCAAACAUUUGAAACACUGGGUAUCAAAU